rnacentral:rRNA from 1 species
GAUGAACGCUGGCGGCGUGCCUAAUACAUGCAAGUAGAACGCUGAAGGAGGAGCUUGCUCUUCUGGAUGAGUUGCGAACGGGUGAGUAACGCGUAGGUAACCUGCCUGGUAGCGGGGGAUAACUAUUGGAAACGAUAGCUAAUACCGCAUGACAACAGUUAUUGCAUGAUAACUGUUUAAAAGGUGCAACUGCUCCACUACCAGAUGGACCUGCGUUGUAUUAGCUAGUUGGUGAGGUAACGGCUCACCAAGGCGACGAUACAUAGCCGACCUGAGAGGGUGAUCGGCCACACUGGGACUGGGACACGGCCCAGAGUCCUACGGGAGGCAGCAGUAGGGAAUCUUCGGCAAUGGACGGAAGUCUGACCGAGCAACGCCGCGUGAGUGAAGAAGGUUUUCGGAUCGUAAAGCUCUGUUGUAAGAGAAGAACGAGUGUGAGAGUGGAAAGUUCACACUGUGACGGUAUCUUACCAGAAAGGGACGGCUAACUACGUG